AUUGAACGCUGGCGGCAUGCCUUACACAUGCAAGUCGAACGGCAGCACGGGUGCUUGCACCUGGUGGCGAGUGGCGAACGGGUGAGUAAUACAUCGGAACAUGUCCUGUAGUGGGGGAUAGCCCGGCGAAAGCCGGAUUAAUACCGCAUACGAUCUACGGAUGAAAGCGGGGGACCUUCGGGCCUCGCGCUAUAGGGUUGGCCGAUGGCUGAUUAGCUAGUUGGUGGGGUAAAGGCCUACCAAGGCGACGAUCAGUAGCUGGUCUGAGAGGACGACCAGCCACACUGGGACUGAGACACGGCCCAGACUCCUACGGGAGGCAGCAGUGGGGAAUUUUGGACAAUGGGCGAAAGCCUGAUCCAGCAAUGCCGCGUGUGUGAAGAAGGCCUUCGGGUUGUAAAGCACUUUUGUCCGGAAAGAAAUCCUUGGCCCUAAUACGGUCGGGGGAUGACGGUACCGGAAGAAUAAACACCGGCGAACUACGU
rnacentral:rRNA from 1 species